rnacentral:rRNA from 1 species
GACGAACGCUGGCGGCGUGCUUAACACAUGCAAGUCGAACGGAAAGGCCCUGCUUUUGUGGGGUGCUCGAGUGGCGAACGGGUGAGUAACACGUGAGUAACCUGCCCUUGACUUUGGGAUAACUUCAGGAAACUGGGGCUAAUACCGGAUAGGAGCUCCUGCUGCAUGGUGGGGGUUGGAAAGUUUCGGCGGUUGGGGAUGGACUCGCGGCUUAUCAGCUUGUUGGUGGGGUAGUGGCUUACCAAGGCUUUGACGGGUGGCCGGCCUGAGAGGGUGACCGGCCACAUUGGGACUGAGAUACCGCCCAGACUCCUACGGGGGGCAGCAGUGGGGAAUAUUGCACAAUGGGCGGAAGCCUGAUGCAGCAACGCCGCGUGCGGGAUGACGGCCUUCGGGUUGUAAACCGCUUUCGCCUGUGACGAAGCGUGAGUGACGGUAAUGGGUAAAGAAGCACCGGCUAACUACGUG